CGACGAUGUUGAUGUGAAUCUUUUCCUUUCCCAUUGUGGAGUUUUAGAUGUUAGCGAUGGACAGCUAUGUAGAAAAAAAGAGAAAAAAGCUGCUGUGAUGGGGC